ACACAGGUGGGCAGGUUGAAAAUACCAAGGCGCUUGAGAGAACUCGGGAGAAGGAACUCGGCAAAUUGAUACCGUAACCCCGGGAGAAGGUAUGCCCCGGUAGCUUGUAGGAGUACAUCCGAAGGGCGAUGGGGGCCGCAGAGAAUCGGUGGCUGCGACUGUUUAUUAAAACACAGCACUCUGCAAACACGAAAGUGGACGUAUAGGGUGUGACGCCUGCCCGGUGCCGGAAGGUUAAGUGAUGGGGUGCAAGCUCUUGAUCGAAGCCCCGGUAAACGGCGGCCGUAACUAUAACGGUCCUAAGGUAGCGAAAUUCCUUGUCGGGUAAGUUCCGACCUGCACGAAUGGCGUAACGAUGGCCACACUGUCUCCUCCCGAGACUCAGCGAAGUUGAAAUGUUUGUGAAGAUGCAAUCUCCCCGCGGCUAGACGGAAAGACCCCAUGAACCUUUACUGUAGCUUUGCAUUGGACUUUGACGGGACUUGUGUAGGAUAGGUGGGAGGCUUUGAGACCAGGACGCUAGUUCUGGUGGAGCCAACCUCGAAAUACCACCCUGGUGUCGUUGAGGUUCUAACCUUGGUCCGUGAAUCCGGAUCGGGGACCGUGCAUGGUAGGCAGUUUGACUGGGGCGGUCUCCUCCCAAAGAGUAACGGAGGAGUACGAAGGUCUUCUAGGUACGGUCGGACAUCGUACUGAUAGUGCAAUGGCAAAAGAAGGCUUGACUGCGAGACCCACAAGUCGAGCAGGUGCGAAAGCAGGUCAUAGUGAUCCGGUGGUUCUGUACUGGAAGGGCCAUCGCUCAACGGAUAAAAGGUACUCUGGGGAUAACAGGCUGAUUCCGCCCAAGAGUUCACAUCGACGGCGGAGUUUGGCACCUCGAUGUCGGCUCAUCACAUCCUGGGGCUGUAGCCGGUCCCAAGGGUAUGGCUGUUCGCCAUUUAAAGUGGUACGCGAGCUGGGUUUAAAACGUCGUGAGACAGUUUGGUCCCUAUCUGCCGUGGGCGUUGGAAGUUUGAGGACCUGCUCCUAGUACGAGAGGACCGGGGGACGAAUCUCCGGGGGUACCUGUUGUCUCGCCAGAGGCAUCGCAGGGUAGCUAUGUACGGAAGAGAUAACCGCUGAAAGCAUCUAAGCGGGAAACGCGCCUGAAGAUAAGAUUUCCCGGGGGUUUAACCCCCUUGAAGGGUCGUUCAAGACCAGGACGUUGAUAGGUCAAGUGUGGAAGCGCAGUAAUGCGUUAAGCUAAUUGAUACUAAUUGCCCGUGCGGCUUGAUCCU
rnacentral:rRNA from 1 species